rnacentral:lncRNA from 1 species
CCUCUGCCCAGAGAUGAGUGGCCACCGUCCUGCCUUGAGGAUCUGUGGGGUGCAUGCCUUUAUCCUGUGCAGGCCCAGGUGCAGGGUGUACCUGGUGCCUCCCACCCUUUGCUGUGGGAUGGUCCUCCCUCACUGGGUGCCCUCCCUGCUCCUCCCGAGCCAAUGGCUGCACCAAUGGCAGCACCAGGCCAGGCCCAUUCUGUUUCCCUACAUUGCUGGCCAUGCUCCUGGUCACUGGCACUCGUGGAGGUGGGGGGUGGCCACCAUCAAUGCUGGCCCUUCCCAUGCUUUGUCAGCCACUCUGGCAAGAGCUGCCACCUCCAGGCAGGUCUCUGCAUGCCCCUGGGGCUGCCCAAGCUCAGGAAAUCCUCUUGUAGGCCAUAAUCCCCUGCUGUGCUGUGGAACAUGUCCUCCUGGAGCUGAUCGCCUCAGAGAGUCAAAGAAUUAUUGAGUAGUGCUGGACACAGGUCCAGCACAGGCUGGGAGACAAGUGGCUGGAGAGCAGCUCAGCAGAAAGGGCUCUGGGGGUGCUGGCUGACAGCAGGCUCAACAUCAGCCAGCAGGGUGCCCUGGCAGCCAAGAGGGCAAAACACAUCUUGGGAUGCAUUAAGCACAGCACAGCCAGAUGGUCAAAGAGGUGAGUCUUCUGCUAUAUUCAGCAUUGGUGAGGCCUCCCCUUGAAUCAUGUACACUGUUCUGGGCUCCACAACAGAAGAAAGAUGUGGAGUUGAAAGCAUCCAGAGGAGGACAACAAAGCUGGUCAAAAGGCUGGAAGGCAUGUCCUGUGAGGAGAGCCUGAGGACACCUGGGUUGUCUAGUCUGGAGAAAAAAAGGCAGACAGAAGGCCUCAUUGCUCUUGACAACUUCCUGAGAAGGGGAAGUGGAAAGGGAGGUGCCAGUCUCUUUUCCAUGAAAACUGAUGACAGGAUGCAUGGGAAUGGUACAAAGCUGCAGCAGGGGAGGAUCACACUGGACAUUAGGAAACAUUUCUCUUCUGUGAGGUUGAUCAAACACAGGAACAGGCUUUCCUAGAGACCUGGUUGAUGUCCCAGGCCUGUCAGUGUUGAACAGGCAUUUGGACAAUACUCUCAUACAUAGUUUCUAACUUUUGAUUAGCCCUGAAAAGGUCAGGCAGUUGAACUGGAUGACUUUUGAAGAUCCCUUACAAAUGAACUAUUCUACACCAUUUGAUUGAAUUUGUCAUGAUCCAUUUAGAUUCUAUAAUAUAAAGCUAUACAAGCCCUUACCUGUGUCACUGUAGGGAACUUGUCCACCUCAGAGGCACAACUUGGGAUUUGUCCUUGUUGGAUAUCACAGAGUUUCAAUUGGCCUAUCCCUCCAACCUGCUUCUUAUUGGAAAAGAGAUUGCUGUGGGGGAUUGUAUUGAAAACCUUGCUGGAAUCCUGGUAAAUGAGAUUCACUGCUCUAGUUUCACCCACAGAUGUGGUCAU